rnacentral:lncRNA from 1 species
UCCUCACAGGCGGCCAGGGGUUCCCUACAGGCGGCCAGGGGUUCCCUGCAAAGGCCGGGGGUUCCCUACAGGCGGCCGGGGGUUCCCUACAGGGGGCCAGGGGUUCCCUACAGGCGGCCAGGGGUUCCCUGCAGCAGCCAGGGGUUCCCUGCAGUGGCCAGGGGUUCCCUACAGGCGGCCAGGGGUUCCCUAUAGGCAGCCGGGGGUUCCCUGCAGCGGCUGGGGUUCCUUACAGGCAGUCAGGGUUCUCUGCAGUGACCGGGGGUUCCCUACAGGCGGCCAGGGGUUCCCUGCAAAGGCCGGGGGUUCCCUACAGGCGGCCGGGGGUUCCCUACAGGGGGCCAGGGGUUCCCUACAGGCGGCCAGGGGUUCCUGCAGCGGCCAGGGGUUCCCUACAGGCAGCCAGGGUUCCCUGCAGUGGCCGGGGUUCCCUACAGGCAGCCGGGGGUUCCCUGCAGUGACCGGGGGUUCCUCACAGGCGGCCAG